rnacentral:rRNA from 2 species
GGGUUGUGAGGUUAAGCGACUAAGCGUACACGGUGGAUGCCCUGGCAGUCAGAGGCGAUGAAGGACGUGCUAAUCUGCGAUAAGCGUCGGUAAGGUGAUAUGAACCGUUAUAACCGGCGAUUUCCGAAUGGGGAAACCCAGUGUGUUUCGACACACUAUCAUUACGUGAAUACAUAGCGUAAUGAAGCGAACCGGGGGAACUGAAACAUCUAAGUACCCCGAGGAAAAGAAAUCAACCGAGAUUCCCCCAGUAGCGGCGAGCGAACGGGGAGCAGCCCAGAGUCUGAAUCAGCAUGUGUGUUAGUGGAAGCGUCUGGAAAGUCGCACGAUACAGGGUGAAAGUCUCGUACACAAAAGUGCAUGUGUUGUGAACUCGAAGAGUAGGGCGGGACACGUGGUAUCCUGUCUGAAUAUGGGGGGACCAUCCUCCAAGGCUAAAUACUCCUGACUGACCGAUAGUGAACCAGUACCGUGAGGGAAAGGCGAAAAGAACCCCGGCGAGGGGAGUGAAAAAGAACCUGAAACCGUGUACGUACAAGCAGUGGGAGCACCCUUCGGGGUGUGACUGCGUACCUUUUGUAUAAUGGGUCAGCGACUUAUAUUCUGUAGCAAGGUUAACCGAAUAGGGGAGCCGAAGGGAAACCGAGUCUUAA